rnacentral:rRNA from 1 species
UACGUAGGGGGCAAGCGUUGUCCGGAUUUAUUGGGCGUAAAGCGUGUGUAGGUGGCCAAGUAGGUCCGCUGUGAAAACUUGAGGCUCAACCUCAAGCUGUCGGUGGAAACCCCUUGGCUAGAGUCCGGAAGAGGAGAGUGGAAUUCCUGGUGUAGCGGUGAAAUGCGCAGAUAUCAGGAAGAACACCAAUGGCGAAGGCAGCUCUCUGGGACGGUACUGACACUGAGACGCGAAAGCGUGGGGAGCGAACAGG